rnacentral:rRNA from 1 species
UACGUAGGGGUGCAAGCGUUGUUCCGGAAUUAUUGGGCGUAAAGGAGCUCGUGAGGCGGUCUGGUCGCGUCGGCUGGUGAAAACCCCGGGAGCUCGAACUCCGGGCCCUGCAGCGAUACGGGCAGGACUGGAGUUCGGCAGGGGAGACUGGAAUUCCAUGGUGUAGCGGUGAAAUGCGCAGAUAUCGGGAAGAACACCCGUGGCGAAGGCGGGCACUCUGGGACGGUAUGGACGCUGAGACGGCGAAA